rnacentral:rRNA from 1 species
GCCAAACAGCUAGCUUAAACACCAAAACUAAAUUAAUAAUAUAAAUAUAAGGGCAAAGCCUAAAAUCAUUAACCAAAUCAUUUUUCCGCCUAAGUACGGGAGACGAAAAAGGUUCUAUAAGCAAUAGAAAAAGUACCGCAAGGGAAGGCUGAAAGAGAAAUGAAAUAAACCAUAUAAGCACAAAAAAGCAGAGACUAAGCCUCGUACCUUUUGCAUCAUGAUUUAGCAAGAACCCAACAGGCAAAGAGACCUUUAGUUUGUUACCCCGAAACCAAGUGAGCUACCCCGGGACAGCCUAUAAGGGCCAACCCGUCUCUGUGGCAAAAGAGUGGGAAGAGCCCCGGGUAGAGGUGAUAGACCUACCGAACUUGGUGAUAGCUGGUUGCCUAGGAAAUGAAUAGAAGUUCAGCCCCGUGCCCCCUUUAACCAAAUAAGUUACAUCUGACUUUAGGAAAUAAGAAAAGUACGGGAGUUAGUUAAAGGGGGUACAGCCCCUUUAAUCAAGGAUACAACUUUACUAAGAGGAUACGGAUUAUAAUAACUAAAAUUCGUUAUUUCAGUGGGCCUAAAAGCAGCCACCUGAGCAGAAAGCGUUAAAGCUCAAAUAACAUAAAAUUUAUUAUUCCAAUAAUGAAUCCCACUCCCCUAAUAAUACUAGGCCGCUCCAUGGCCUACAUGGAAGAGAUUAUGCUAAAAUGAGUAACAAGAGACAACACCUCUCUCCAAGCACAAGUGUAGGCCGGCCUGGACCAACCACCGGCAAUUAACGAACCCAAAAAAAGAGGGCAGUGUAAAUGAUAUAAACCGCAAGAAAAUUAUACACCCAAAAAUCGUUAAACCCACACUGGAGUGCCCCUAGGAAAGACUAAAAGAAAGGGAAGGAACUCGGCAAACACAAGCCUCGCCUGUUUACCAAAAACAUCGCCUCCUGCAAAAUUCAAAGUAUAGGAGGUCCAGCCUGCCCAGUGACCGCAAGUUCAACGGCCGCGGUAUUUUGACCGUGCAAAGGUAGCGCAAUCACUUGUCUUUUAAAUGAAGACCUGUAUGAAUGGCCAAACGAGGGCUUAGCUGUCUCCCCUUUCAAGUCAGUGAAAUUGAUCUGCCCGUGCAGAAGCGGACAUAAAAGUACAAGACGAGAAGACCCUUUGGAGCUUAAGGUUCAAAUCCAACCGCGUCAAACAACUUACUAAAUAAGGACUAAACCUAGCGGAAACUGGAACUUUACCUUCGGUUGGGGCGACCACGGAGAACAACACAUCCUCCGAGUGGACUGGGCUAACAAGCCUAAAACUAAGAAAUACAUUUCUAAGCCACAGAAAAUCUGACCAACAAAGAUCCGGCCCACGGGCCGAUCAACGGACCAAGUUACCCUAGGGAUAACAGCGCAAUCCUCUCCCAGAGUCCAUAUCGACGAGGGGGUUUACGACCUCGAUGUUGGAUCAGGACAUCCUAAUGGUGCAGCCGCUAUUAAGGGUUCGUUUGUUCAACGAUUAAAGUCCUACGUGAUCUGAGUUCAGACCGGAGCAAUCCAGGUCAGUUUCUAUCUGUAACGUCGCUUUUCCUAGUACGAAAGGACCGGAAAAGAGAGGCCCAUGCCAAAAGUAUGCCUCACCCCUAAUUAAUGAAAUCAACUUAAUUAAGUAAAUGGAGGACCCAACCUUGAGCCAAGAUAAAGCCAC